CUAGGAAACUAGGUGGAAAGAGAAGGAUGAAGAAGAAAAAGAAGCUGAGAUUGAAGACAGGACCCUAGAGAAUGCCCACUUUAGAGAGCUGAGGAGCAAAACAGAAGGAGAGGACAAUAAGCCGUGUGUUCUCUCAAAGCUGGCUUACUCAAUUUCUCAAUACUGUUUCACAUUUCUGGAAUUUUCCUCCAAACUACCAUUUAUUUGCAUGCUUAUAUCAAAUGUACCACUUGCAUUAACACUUCUCUUACCAACCUAACCCAGUGACAUUUCUUCCUUCUCAGAGAGCCUCUAGCAGUUUUUAUCUAUCAUUAUUAUUUUUUUUUUUUUGAGAUGAAGUCUCACUCUGUCGCCCAGGCUGGAGUGCAGUGUCGCGAUCUCAGCUCACUGCAACCUCCACCUCCCGAGUUCAAGCAAUUAUCCUGCCUCAGUCUCCUGAGUAGCUGGGAUUACAGGCACAUGCCAUCACAACUGGCUAAUUUUUGUAUUUUUAGUAGAGACAGGGUUUCACCAUGUUGGUCAGGCUGGUCUUGAACUCCUGACCUCGUGAUCUGCCCAUCUCAGCCUACCAAAGUGCUGGGAUUAUAGGCAUGAGCCACCACAUCCGGCUAUCUAUCAUGACUCUGACCCUUCGCCAUAUUCUACUAUUUAGUAGGGACGUGCCCAACAUGACUAAAAGCACUGGAGCUAUAGCAACAAACAAUGCUGAACAGAAAUCAGCUAUCACUGAGUUUACAUCCAAGUUUGCACGGUACCUGAUGCAGACAGACAAUAAUCAAACAAAUGAAUAAAUAGGAAAACUUCAUAAGAAUUUGAGAGCUGUAAAGAGAAGUAAGAGUAGUAUUACUCGUGGAAGGGUAACACUACUUCUGAGAAAGUGACUUUGGGCAGAAUCUGAAUGACAAGAAACCAGCCAAGUAAAGAUCUGGGUAUUUCAAGCAAAGGGAAAAAGGGAACCACAUGUGCUGAGAUCCUGAGGAAGGAACAUGUUGGCGUGUUGGGGGGAAUAGCAAAAAAUAAAUAAAAAUAAAAGCUGGUGUGCCUGGAGUACAGUGAAUGGGGGAGAAGGAAUAGGAGAGAGAAUAUGUCGAAUGUUUUCAGCUGCAGAAGGAAAAUUUUUCUCUUGAGAGUAAGAUUUACACUGAGAGCUGUAAACUCAAGACCAUAGGACCUGAUUAAUAUAUCUAAAAUAUCUCUCCUGCUGUUGCAUGGAAACUGAAUCGUAUAAGAGCAAGUGUGGAAAUACGGAGACCAAAGAGUUAGGAUCCCAAUUGUAUCUCUGAAAAGAUAAAACAGUUACAUGAUGGGCGGGCAGCCUCCACUUCUACCCCAUUCUCUAACCUUUUCCAGACAUAGGGGCAUACAUCAAGCCAGAAGGUGACCAGACACAACUAUGAAAAUAAAUGUAAGAACCAAUCCACUUUAAGUGAACAAGAGUGAGUCCCCAAGCCCAAAAGAACUAAGAUCUCUUUUUUUUUUUAAAUUUUUUUUUUUUAUUAUACUCUAAGUUUUAGUGUACAUGUGCACAUUGUGCAGGUU
rnacentral:lncRNA from 1 species